rnacentral:lncRNA from 1 species
AAUGUUGUAAAGCUGAGCUUUUAGCAAAAGCAAGAAGCAAGAGAUUCUGCAAACCAACAUUCCACACAGAACUCUCAGAAGCUGGGGAACUGAAACUCAGAGGCAGUUGCUGGACAGAAUUGGUGGACUCCUCUGGAAGAGGGAGAGACUGCUUUUCUCUAGCAGUCAGGAAAGCCCAGAGAGUUUCUGUCUGGUGUUUCUGGGGUGGACCCGGAGUGCCAGUGAUUCCCUCUUCUUUGGAUUUCUUGAUAUUCUGCCUGUCCUUGCUGCUGCUGCUACAGAGAAGUGGAUUUCAACAGCACUGAUGCCCAAUUCAUCUUCCUAGAGCUCAUCUACCCAUUCCCCUCCCAGGCUCAGUGACUUUGCUGCCUCUAGCCUAAAAGAAGCUGGUGAGCUGGCACAGAGGGCCCAUCCCCACCCACUCCCACUCCCUCCCCCUCCCCAUCACCAGCCUUCUGGAGAAGAAUGCUGCAGCCAGACCAGGGCACCCAGCCCUGUGUGCCCCAUGUGCCCCCUCCCCCUUUAGUGCUUGUUCCCUGGGUGACUCCAGUCUCAUUCAAAGGGAUGAUUUAAUUACCUAACAAGGGAAGCCCUUAAGAAGAAGGUUUAAGUUAACAAUUGAAUGAUUUGCCAACUAUCAGGUGCUUUUGGUGGCUGACCCUCUCCACCAAGGCUUGUGCAGGAGAGAUCUAAGAGUUCCUGUUCCUUGGCCGGUCCUCCUUCCUGCUAAUGUUCCCGAGAGGAAGAAAAUGCCCAGAUGGUCCGUGCAGUUAGCAGCGCAGUGGCUAGAAGGCUGGAACCUGAUUUCCAAUCCAGCCCCAGACCCUGACUGGUCGUGUGACCCUAGCCAAGUCACUUAACCUGUUUGCCUCAGUUGCUUCGUCUGUAAAAUGGUGUGAAUAAUGGCAUUUAUCUCACUCAUUCUAUCCACCCUGAAGUUGUCAAAUUGAUUUUUUCCAAAAGAUAUGAUCUGACCAUGUCAUCUUCAGUCAAAUAAACUUCAGUGACCCCCCCCCCCA